rnacentral:rRNA from 1 species
CCUACGGGAGGCAGCAGUGAGGAAUAUUGGUCAAUGGACGAAAGUCUGAACCAGCCAUGCAGCGUGAAGGAUGACGGCCCUAUGGGUUGUAAACUUCUUUUAUACAGGAAUAAAAGGAGGUACGUGUGCCUGUUUGCAUGUACUUUAUGAAUACGGAUCGGCUAACUCCGUGCCAGCAGCCGCGGUAAUACGGAGGAUCCGAGCGUUAUCCGGAUUUAGUGGGUUUAAAGGGAGCGUAGAUGGGAGGGUAAGUCAGGUGUGAAAUGUGGCGGCUCAACCGUAAAAAUGCCUUUGAUACUGGUCGUAUAGAGUGCAGUUGAGGGAGGCGGAAUGUGUGGUGUAGCGGUGAAAUGCUUAGAUAUCACGAAGAACCCCGAUUGCGAAGGCAGCUUACUAAACUGUAACUGACGUUGAUGCUCGAAAGCGUGGGUAUCAAACAGGAUUAGAUACCCCUGUAGUC